UAACCUGGUUGAUCCUGCCAGUAGUCAUAUGCUUGUCUCAAAGACUAAGCCAUGCAUGUCUAAGUAUAAGCGAUCUUAUACGGUGAAACUGCGAAUGGCUCAUUAAAUCAGUUAUAGUUUAUUUGAUGGUCUCUCACCACUUGGAUAACCGUGGUAAUUCUAGAGCUAAUACAUGCGUCGAGUCCCGACUCUCGCGGAAGGGAUGUAUUUAUUAGAUUCAAAACCAAUGCGGGCCCUCGCGGACCCGGUCGGUGAUGAUUCAUAGUAACUCGUCGGAGCGCACGGCCCUCGCGCCGGCGCCGGAUCAUUCAAGUUUCUGCCCUAUCAACUGUCGAUGGUAAGGUAUUGGCUUACCAUGGUUGCAACGGGUGACGGAGAAUUAGGGUUCGAUUCCGGAGAGGGAGCCUGAGAAACGGCUACCACAUCCAAGGAAGGCAGCAGGCGCGCAAAUUACCCAAUCCCGACACGGGGAGGUAGUGACAAUAAAUAACAAUACAGGGCUUUUUCAAGUCUUGUAAUUGGAAUGAGAACAAUUUAAAUCCCUUAACGAGGAACAAUUGGAGGGCAAGUCUGGUGCCAGCAGCCGCGGUAAUUCCAGCUCCAAUAGCGUAUAUUAAAGUUGUUGCAGUUAAAAAGCUCGUAGUUGGAUUUCGGCGGCGCGCGUCCGGUCCGCCUGGCGGCGUGUCACUGGUCGCGUGCGGCUUUCUCUCGAGGGCCGCGCGUGCUCUUGACUGAGCGUGCGCGGGACUCGGGACGUUUACUUUGAAAAAAUUAGAGUGUUCAAAGCAGGCGCGUAGCUUGAAUACAUUAGCAUGGAAUAAUGGAAUAGGACGUCGGUCCUAUUUUGUUGGUUUCUGGGACCGAGGUAAUGAUUAAUAGGGACAGUUGGGGGCAUUCGUAUUCAAUUGUCAGAGGUGAAAUUCUUGGAUUUAUGGAAGACGAACGUAUGCGAAAGCAUUUGCCAAGGAUGUUUUCGUUAAUCAAGAACGAAAGUUGGAGGUUCGAAGACGAUUAGAUACCGUCGUAGUUCCAACCAUAAACUAUGCCGACUAGGGAUCGGAGGACGUUAUCGUACGACUCCUUCGGCACCUUGCGAGAAAUCAAAGUUUUUGGGUUCCGGGGGGAGUAUGGUCGCAAGACUGAAACUUAAAGGAAUUGACGGAAGGGCACCACCAGGAGUGGAGCCUGCGGCUUAAUUUGACUCAACACGGGGAAACUCACCAGGUCCGGACACAGUAAGGAUUGACAGAUCGAGAGCUCUUUCUUGAUUCUGUGGGUGGUGGUGCAUGGCCGUUCUUAGUUGGUGGAGUGAUUUGUCUGCCUAAUCGCGAUAACGAACGAGACCUUAACCUGCUAACUAGUCACGCGAUGUCCACGGGGAUGGCGGUCGACUUCUUAGAGGGACUAUCGGUGUGUAACCGGUGGAAGUGUGAGGCAAUAACAGGUCUGUGAUGCCCUUAGAUGUCCUGGGCUGCACGCGCGCUACACUGACGGAGUCAGCGAGUGUUGACCUGCGCCGAGAGGUGUGGGUAAUCUUGUGAAACUCCGUCGUGCUGGGGAUAGACCCUUGCAAUUAUUGGUCUUGAACGAGGAAUUCCUAGUAAGCGCGAGUCAUCAGCUCGCGUUGAUUACGUCCCUGCCCUUUGUACACACCGCCCGUCGCUACUACCGACUGGAUGGCCUCGUGAAAACUUCGGAUCGGCGCCGGUCGUGCGGUUCGCCGCGCAUUGGCCGCCGAGAAGCGGUUUUAGCGAUGUUUUCUGGAGGAAGUAAAAGUCGUAACAAGGUUUCUGUAGGUGA
rnacentral:rRNA from 1 species